GGGUUUGUUACACUUCUAGUUGCUGUCUACUAGACAGUCACUAGAGGCAUCUUCUGGCGCUUUACAGACUUUAACUCCAUGAAACGACACUGGACGCCGUCACACUUUCAUCCUGAAAAUCCCCAUAGGAAAGCAUUGAUUCACUGCGCAUUAUAUUCCCCCAUCACCAUGAUGUUACGGGAGGAGGAGAGCGAUCCAGCGCUGACGGAACUCAGCACUGGAAUCAGGUAAGUGAAAGAAAGGGUUUUGACCAUGUCAUGACUAUGGUGGGCAUGGAGGUAGAGGGACAACAUAGUGUUAGGAAUACAGUGUUUCUAUAACUCAAAUUAAAGCCAUGUUUUACAUAUUGCACCAUUUUUUAAACUUUUUGUUUGUUACCCUAUUUAGAAAAAGCAGUGGCUAUGGUGUUUACAGAGUCCCUUUAAAGAAACAGUCUAUCCACCAUAACCACUACAAACAAGUAAACAGCUCAGUUUUGGUUUCCAUAACCAGCUGCAGCUCCGUAUUGGUUUCGUUUGCCCUAUGUGUCAUGUUUCCUACUGAUGUCUCCCAUCUCUAUAUCCGUGUAUUUUAUUCAGCUCCCAUCUCUUAUUUCCCAGUUUUCCCAUUUAUUUUUCCAAUGAUUUCGAGGUUUGAGUCCUUUUUGAUCAUACCUUAAAGUGUCUCUAUUCCCGUGUCUGAUUUAUGAACCUGAUUCCUUGCCUGAUAUUGUAUCCCAGUUUCAGGACCUUCUAAACAAUCUGGAUUGUUUCCUGACUUCUGGAGGAUGACGGUCGGUUUCCAUAUUUCCUGCCUAUGGCUCUGCUGCAGUCUGGAUCCUUUACCCGAUAGCAGUAUUCUCCCAGAGAUUCUACCAUUUGUAAUAGGCUCAGUCCAUGAUGUUAACUCAGAAUAUGGAUUACAUUGAUGUAUUAGUACCACUAGUAUCUGUACGCACCACAGUGAAGCUGAAAUCAUUGGAGGUGACAGUCUUCUGCGAGGUUUCUAUUAAAGGGGGACAUUCUCUGGAAAUGACAGAAUUCAACAAAAACACCUAUAACUUGUGUUAAC